CAGUUUCCCCAAGCGCCGCCCCGCGCUCCGGGCAGUGCUCCGCGGGGGAACCGGCUCUGCAGACGGGCGGGGGCAAAGCGACGCUGUGGGUUUUCCGCGAGUGGUUCUGCGCUGCCGGGGUGGGUGUCUGGCGUGGGUGCUCCCACGGUGCUGGGGAUGCACAAAAGGAGUGAAGCAGGGGCCUGGAGAAAUCGAGGCACGGCGAGGGGUGAGGACAGUGGGCAGACGGCGGGGGAUACUUCCAGGAGGGAGGAUGGAGACGGAUGAUGUCCUACCCGUUACUGGUGGCUCGCCAUCGGGCAUCCACGGCGGCUGGAGGUUGCCAUGGGCAUGAAGCCCCGUGGAGGGAGGUGGGCUGUGCUGUGAACCCCACCUUGGGGCACAGAGUUCUGGGGACAGAGCCCAGGGGACUUGUCUGGAGGGUGCCAGCCAGGCUGGGAGCUGCUUUGUCCUCACGGCAGCUGGCAAAAAUCAUUGACAGCAGUUUUCGCUGGCAACAGGACUGACCUCACCAUCCCGAGGGACUGCUGGGCUCCAAGGGGUCUGGCCCAGCCCAACAAGGACUUGUUUUUUGCCAACCAAUUCCCCAUGGAUAUAACUCUGUCCUAACCUUGAGCUUGCACCUCAGGGAGGCAUCACUCCUCACACUUGGGGCAGUUUAAUUAGCACUGAGCCCUCUGUCCCUGCUUAAACCUUCUGGAACUUGCCAAGAAAUUGCAGGGAGGGCACAGGAUGACCAGCUGGGCAGAUACCAUGGUUGAGUCUCGUUUUCCCAUAGUAGACCUAUGAGGAGAGCCAAGAUGCUGUGAUUUGGAGCACUGCGCUUUCCAGAAAGGCUUCCCUGGCCACUGUGGGUACAAAGAAAUGCUCAGAGGGGCAAAACCUGCUCCCAGCCCUGAUGCUUUUGGCUUGGGAACUGCAGCACUCGCAGCUGAUUCUGGCUGAGAUUUGGGCUCAGCCGCUUCCCCGGCUGCUGCCAUGACACAGUCCAGCGUUUGUAAACAGCCCGAGGUUCCUCAGCAAGGUGUCAUGGGAGGAAAUAGCUGGAUGCCGGGGAGUGCAGCGUCCUGACCUGCCCCUCACCCUUCUUGGUGACUAACCCGCUCCCAAUUUCCGCUCAGGAAGGCAUGAGUCGUGUUGGGAGGAUGUGAGAGCAGCUGUCCCAUUGCUCCUGGCAGGUGCCAUGGGACGAUAAAUCUGCUUUGGGCUCUGUCCUCACCAUGCUGCAUCCACCCAAGGCCCUGUGACCCUGUGCCACAUGGAUCCCCCUUCGACCUGCCAGCCUGUGCUUUAAGUAGGAGUGGAAUGUCUAUCCAGGCUCUGCUGGCAAUGCUCGUGUUGUGAGGAAAGGGGUGAGAGGGACUUCAUCGCAAGAUGUCAGGGCCAGCAAUGGGUGCAGGAAGGGUUGGGGAAGGGCUGCUCAUGGUGGGGAUGCCAAGGGCUGGGGGCUGCAGCCAGGUUUGUCUCAGAUGGUGGAUGGGACUGACACAGGCUCAGCCUCUGUGAUGGCAGGGGAGAGACAGGGCUUUUCCAUCUCUGGUCUGUGGGGACUCCCCAGACCUGACGCUGUAGCACCCUUGGAUGCCCACUCCAUGCCGUGACCAGCUCGGUGCCACCACCAGCCCCAGGCAGGUCCCUUUGCUCUCCGCAGCCACAGGCUGAUUGAACCCGGUCCCACACGGACACCACUUGUUUGCCUCCAGAUGUGAUGCCUAACGCAGAAGUGGGAUCACUUCCUUCCCCGUGCUGAUAACCACAGGGAAGGAAGGGCCUAUCUUAAUUAUGAGAGCCUUAACGAGGCCCCUCGACCCCAAGGGCAGCCCGAAGGGUGCUCAGCAGCUCACAGGCUGUGGGCAGGCGACUGCCGGUCGGGUUUGUCCUGAUCAGCUCCAUUCCCGCCCGCGCGGCGCUGCUCAGGCCGUGUGUGUGGGAGGGAAGUGCCGGGAUGUGAUGUGGGGAUGUGGCACGGAGCAGGUGUGAUGGGGGGACAGCCCAUGGGGAUGUGGCACGGAGCAGGUGUGAUGGAGGGGACAGCCCGUGGGGAUGUGGCACGGAGCAGGUGUGAUGGGGGGACAGCCCGUGGGGAUGUGGCACGGAGCAGGUGUGAUGGGGGGACAGCCCGUGGAGAAUCCCCCCCACUUCCUUCCUCACUGCCCAUGGAGCAGAGCAUCCAGUCCAGCCCUGACCUCCAGUCUCCCUUCAAAAGCAAACACCCCUCCAGCUUCUGUCCCGGGAGGAGCCCCGGGGUAUCCCAGAUGCUGCAGACAUCAUUUGGUGGAGAAGGUUUGUAUAUUUGAAGCACCGUGCCCUGGGUUCGCUGGGCAAGGUGAUGGUGCCGAGUUUGGGGAAACUGAGGCAGAAACAGCAGACAAGGUUUGUCUUGAGUUGUGCAAGAAGCCAGGGGUUAAAUACACCAAAAACCUCCCUCUAGCCCUCCUGCUGCUGCCCCCAGCUGCUGCAGGAGCUGAUCUGCGCUGGGAGUUAUUCUGGGGGAAGAAAAGCACAGAGCCUGGGGGCUUCCCACACCUUCCAUAACCUUCAUGCCCCUGCUGCAGCAGAGACCUGGGGCUCUCAGUGCCAGGGCAGGCCCGUAUUUCGGGGUCUCACUGCCACAUCACAGCCCCAGAGGAGGCAUGCAGAGGACGUGCCUCUGUUGCAAGAUGAACUGCAGCGUUUCCCUUGGAGGCACACAGCUCCUCCACAUCCCUGCCCGCUCUGCCGCGUCCGCCGGCAGCCACCCGGGGACGGGAACGGGAGGGGGAUGCACUCCUCCCGAAUCCAUCUCUUUUAGCAUCGUUCCCACUGCUGAAGGUACAUGUCUCAAGGUGGAGCCAGAAAUAGCGCGGCUGGCGCUGCAUCGGGGCUGGCAGGGCUGCAGGCUUGGCAGGGGGACAGGCACCGACUGCAGCAGUGGGAACUUUCCAGGCAGCUCCUGCGGGAGCGGAGCUGUUUCUGUGCAGACCCAGCCCCUGGACUGUGGAUCAGCCCCUCUCAGCCGUGAGGCUGGGGCUGACAUGGGGGGACCAGCACAGAGCAGGAGGAACAGAGAUAACAGGGAUAUCUCCUGGAGGAGAGUGGCUGCGAUCACAUCCCACCUGAGCUAGGACACAGGUCUGGGCUCUACCACUCAUUUGCUGCAGAACUCGGGAAAGUGGCUGCACCUUCUACCUGCUUCCAUGACCCAGGGGUGGCAGGUUUCCCUCAAAACCCAGCUUCUCUCGGGGCCCAGGGAGGAUUCUCAGCCUCCAAGGAGCUCAGGUUUUUUGUGGCAGCUCCUAAAUCACAGCCAGGCUCUGGAGCUCGGGGGCUGCUCCCCAGCGCUGACCCUCCGCUGAGCUCUCAGCAGCUGCCGGCACAGCCUGGGACCUCAGGGGUCACCGGGAGGCCCUGAACAAUGCCGACGAGCUGAGCUCAUUCUUCCCAGCUGAUAAUUUGCUUAAAAAUAUUUCUGAGCUCAGGCCUCCUCAGGGAAAACACUCCCAAACGCCAGGCAAAAAGCUGCUGAGUCUGGAGGAACCACACACCCACCACUCGCUCGCCGAGACGUCCCCCCGAUGACAAGCCCUGGCGUCAGAGGGACUGAGGCCAAAGUCUGCCGUUUGAUCUCCCCCUUCGCUGGGGGAAGCCGAAUUUCAGGCCUUCCAAGGGUUUUACCACUUCCCGGUAGCGGUUUCCUGCCAUGAUGUGAGUGCAGGAAUUUUUGGGAGGUGAGUCAGAGGCUGCAAUGAGAACCACCUGGUUGGGGCCGGGCUGGGAGGCUCGAUCUAGGGGUGAUCCCUGCUGCGAUGCUCGAUGCCUGCAUUCCCAGAGUGGAAUUACUUACUUGGGACACAACAUCCCAUCACAGACCCCAUUUCUGGCCUGGAAAAGAAGAAGAGGGAUUUGCUGAGUUCCCACGGCUCCUCCUUCCUUGCCGGGCUGGGAUCGGUACGCUCCGGCCACCCCACCCGGGCUCCAGGGAGAAGCUUGGGUAAGAAUAAAGAGCAAAACCUCAUCCAGCUCUGCAGGAAGCCGCUGGAAUGGCUGUCCCGCCCAGGCACCGGGUUGUCCCGAGCACGGAACUGCUCCAAAGCAGCAGCGAGGCUUGGUUUUCCCUGGGGAGCAAUGCGGGAGUUGGCGGAGCUGAGAAACUGCCCUCCCUGGUCUCUGAAAUUCAACUUACAGAAUGAGCUCCUGCUGAAGGAACCUCCCAGGUUUUGCCUCCUGGGCUAUUAAAGCUCCAUGACCCCGUGCCCACUCUCUCCCCAGCAUUACUCAAACCCCUCUGCGCAGAGAAUAAGUGAGUCGAGUCCAGAGAGUGAGACUGAGCCGGGAUAAGCCUUUGGAAAGGAGCUAAACCUGCUCAAAGCCGGCACUGUUCCCUGACCCGCCCUCCUAAUCCUGCCUGGCUGAUAAUGGAAUAAUAAAGGGCUGCACAGCCUCGCUCUCUGCUGCUCUGUGGGGGAGGUUCCUGCUGCCUCUGUACAUGCCAGGAGCUGGGAUAUUAAUGACUCCCUAAGUAAACAGAAUCGCUCCUUUCUUCUCCUUUGCCUGGCUGUAAAACCGAGCGUGACCUUCAGCCCGCAGAGAAAUCAGAGUCGCUCCCCUUUCCAGGAGAAAGGCUGGUUGUGGCAGUGAUAACACCGUGAUCUCUGCCCGCCACCCUUCCCAGGGCUGAUCCAAACCCUGCAGCAUCAGCAGCUGAUGGGCUCCUGGUGGGACUGGCAGGGCCACCCCUGCGAGGCUUUGGCCUCUCCCUGCAGGAAUGAAGCUGGUGGUUCACUGAGGGGGAACCUCAGGAGCACAGAAUGGGGGGAUUUGGGAAACCCAGCCCCUCCAAGGUGUGCACACCUUGUCUGCUGUGCCGGGGGCUGCCCUGUAGCAGAACCUACAAACUUGUGGCAUCUCAGCCUCAGCAGCUGGAAAAAGGGCAAGUGACAAUGCCGAUAAGAUCCAUUCCCUGUGGCUGGGAUGGCUCUGAGCACCUGACAGGACACCAGGAAUGGUGACAGGAGGAGGGUGCUGGGAGACCCAGAGGCCACAGCAGCAUCCCUGGGCUGCUGUGCUGAGGCUGCUGAAUGAGGAGCCAGCUGGGAAGGGGGUAAACAGCCCUUCCUUCUCCACAUGCCUGAUUCCAGGCAGGGAAGAGCUUUAAAGAGGAGGGCAAAGCAGGUCUCUGGGAGGGAGUUGGUGGGAGGCUGAGUGCUCUGCAGAGGGAUGUGCCAUGGUUCCUGCAGGGGCAAAAUUCCCUCCCUACCCUUUGGGCAUGCCCCUGCUGCUUGGGUGUCCCUGAAGCAGGAUGUCCCUUGCUUUCCUGGGAACUGCCAUUUCUCUGGUGGAUGCAGGAGGGACCUCGGGAGGUAGGCAGCUUCCUACAUCACAAAAAGUCUGGCUCUCACCAAAUUUUUUGAAGGACAAAGGCAGCAACCUGUGAGGAGUGACCAGCUGUACCGUGGGUGCUGUGACUGCUCUCGGCCUGGGGUUGGGGUGCCCAGGAGGGAUGUCUGGGCUCUCUGGCUGAUGGAUGUUGUGGAUUCAUCCCAGGAUAAUGCCAGCCUGGAGGUCUGAUUAGAAUCCCACACGUGGCUGUGGUGCCUCCUCAGAGUGAACUCGGCAGCUGAUGCUGUCAGCUCUCACCUCACACCUUGGGGGAACGAGCCGGGAUGUGAGAGCCAAGCUGGAAUAGCCCCUACAGCCCAGCUGGAAUAGUCCCUGCUCUGACAAGGCAUGAAUUUAGGACCUGCAGGAGGCACAGCAGGAGGGAGAUGUGGGGCUGGAACUGCAGGGACAGGUAAGGUAUCAGCAGGCGUGGUGGAGUGAGACAAAACUCUCCCGGUCCUUGGGCAGUGCUGGCAUACACAGGGGACAUGGACAGUCCUCUCUCGUUUGCAUGGAGGAUAUCUGGGAGAGACAAGCUUUAAUGAAGUGUCAGCUCAAGGGGCUGAUGGCAGAGCUGCAGCUCCCAGCUGAGUCUGUGACAGGGAGUCACUGUGGCUGUCACAGCUGGAAAGCCACUGGUCAUGGAGGGAAACCUCGUCCAUAUCCUGAAUGAAGCCCACCAGGCCUCCUCCUCCUCCUCCUCCCUCCCUCCCAGCUGGGAGGACACAGGCCAAGGGAUGAUGGUGUUACACAGCAGCUUCGAGAACUGCCAGGAAAAGCCUCUCCCUCCAGGAUGAACCAAGUGAUGUGGGGCAAUGCUGGUGAUUAAAGUAAUGCAAUUUGCCUUUCCUGCAAUACAUAAUUUCUGUCAUAUACCCUCAUUUCUGCUGCUCUGUGGGGUGCUCUGAUCCAUCCUGACCACAGGGGAUGGAUCCCAACAGUGUUGUCACCUCCCAUCAUUUUCCCAGCUGCAAAGGCUGAGAUGUAUAUUGUACAUAUAUAAAAUAAAAUUAAAAAGAAAUGUAAA